rnacentral:lncRNA from 1 species
CUAAUUUCUUUCGUGUCAAUUGAACCUUCAAACCGAGUUGUUUGCAAAUUUUGCCUUUUGCUUAUGUCUAAGUAGGGAGCAUUAUUGAAUAAAUUUGGUUUUGGAAUCUAUAGUUGGGGAGAGUAAAGUAAAAAGAUUUGAUUAGAAACUUGGAAAAGUGAGUUUUUAUGAAAGGGUGAAAAUAUGAAAAGAAACAAGAAAAAGAAAUCACCCUUGAAACCAUAGAGCAAAGAGAAAGAAAAGAAAGAAAAAACAAAGAAAAUGCUCAUGGUUGUGUGGAUGUGAAAAGAAAAAUAAAAAGAAAAAGAUAGGGAUCAAAGAAAUGGAAAUUGUGUAGAGUUGAAUGUUUGGGAAUGCUC